rnacentral:rRNA from 1 species
GAGUUUGAUCCUGGCUCAGAACGAACGUUGGCGGCGCGCCUAACACAUGCAAGUCGAACGCGAAAAGUCUUCGGACUGAGUAGAGUGGCGCACGGGUGCGUAACACGUGAGUAACCUACCCUUCAGCUUGGGAUAACAGCUCGAAAGAGCUGCGGGAUACCGAAUAAGACCACGCCCUUUUCGAAGGAAGUGAGAAAAGAUGGCGCUCGAAAGAAGCUGUCACUGAAGGACGGGCUCGCGGUCUAUCAGCUUGUUGGUGAGGUAAUGGCUCACCAAGGCGAAGACGGAUAGCUGGUCUGAGAGGAUGGCCAGCCACACUGGAACUGAGACACGGUCCAGACUCCUACGGGAGGCAGCAGUGGGGAAUCUUGCGCAAUGGGCGAAAGCCUGACGCAGCGACGCCGCGUGUACGAUGAAGGCCUUUGGGUCGUAAAGUACUGUCAACAGGGACGAAAGCCUGCCGGUUAAUAGCCGGAAGGGAUGACGGUACCUGUGGAGGAAGCACCGGCUAACUCUGUGCCAGCAGCCGCGGUAAUACAGAGGGUGCAAACGUUGUUCGGAAUUACUGGGCGUAAAGCGCGUGUACGCGGUCUCGUAAGUCGACUGUGAAAGCCCAGGCUCAACCCUGGAAGUGCAGCCGAUA